rnacentral:rRNA from 1 species
UACGUAGGUGGCAAGCGUUGUCCGGAUUUACUGGGCGUAAAGCGCGCGCAGGCGGUUCGGUACGUCCGGCGUGAAAGCUCCCGGCUCAACUGGGAGAGGGCGUUGGAUACGGCCGGGCUGGAGGGCGGUAGAGGGCGGUGGAAUUCCCGGUGUAGUGGUGAAAUGCGUAGAGAUCGGGAGGAACACCUGUGGCGAAGGCGGCCGACUGGGCCGUCCCUGACGCUGAGGCGCGAAAGCGUGGGGAGCGAACCGG